rnacentral:misc_RNA from 1 species
CGCCGCUUGUUUCCCCUCCUUCGAUCUCAGCUUUCCGAAGAAUCAAGAUGGCCGGCGAAGAUGUGCCUGUCAUUCCAACCGAGGCUCCAGCUCUUGGGGAGCCCAUGGAUCUGAUGACUGCUCUACAACUGGUGAUGAAGAAAUCACUGGCUCAUGAUGGACUUGUCCGUGGGCUCCAUGAAGGCGCCAAGGUCAUCGAAAAGCAUGCUGCACAGCUCUGUGUUCUGGCCGAGGAUUGCAACCAGCCCGACUAUGUAAAGUUGGUAAAAGCACUUUGUGCUGAUCACAAUGUCCAUUUGGUUACUGUGCCGAGCGCCAAAUCUCUUGGGGAAUGGGCAGGGCUCUGCAAGUUUGAUUCCGAUGGAAAGGCGAGG